AUGGAAGCAGAAUUCACAGCAUUAGACACUGCCACUGUUGAAGUAAAGUGGCUCCGUGAGCUCUUGAUGGACUUACCUAUGGUUGAAAAACCAAUACCCCCUAUCCUGAUGAACUGUGAUAAUCAAACUGUGAUCGUCAAGAUAAACAGUUCUAAGGACAAUAUGAAGUCCUCAAGGCAUGUGAAGAGGACACUAAAAUCUGUCAGAAAAUUGAGAAACUCCGGAGUUAUUACGUUGGAUUAUAUCCAAACAAUGAAAAACAUGGAAGAUCCCUUCACAAAGGGUUUAUCACGUAAUGUGAUAGAUAAUGCAUCGAUGGGGAUGGGUUUGAGACCCACC
rnacentral:rRNA from 1 species